rnacentral:rRNA from 1 species
UGGGGAAUUUUGGACAAUGGGCGAAAGCCUGAUCCAGCAAUGCCGCGUGUGUGAAGAAGGCCUUCGGGUUGUAAAGCACUUUUGUCCGGAAAGAAAUCCUUGGCUCUAAUACAGUCGGGGGAUGACGGUACCGGAAGAAUAAGCACCGGCUAACUACGUGUCAGCAGCCGCGGUAAUACGUAGGGUGCAAGCGUUAAUCGGAAUUACUGGGCGUAAAGCGUGCGCAGGCGGUUUGCUAAGACCGAUGUGAAAUCCCCGGGCUCAACCUGGGAACUGCAUUGGUGACUGGCAGGCUAGAGUAUGGCAGAGGGGGGUAGAAUUCCACGUGUAGCAGUGAAAUGCGUAGAGAUGUGGAGGAAUACCGAUGGCGAAGGCAGCCCCCUGGGCCAAUACUGACGCUCAUGCACGAAAGCGUGGGGAGCAAAACAGGAUUAGAUACCCUGGUAGUCCACGCCCUAAACGAUGUCAACUAGUUGUUGGGGAUUCAUUUCCUUAGUAACGUAGCUAACGCGUGAAGUUGACCGCCUGGGGAGUACGGUCGCAAGAUUAAAACUCAAAUGAAUUGACGGGGUCAUAGCUGUUUCCU